rnacentral:rRNA from 1 species
AACGGGUGAGUAACACGUGAGCAACCUGCCUUACACACAGGGAUAACAGUUGGAAACGACUGCUAAUACCGGAUAAGACCACACUAUGGCAUCAUAGAGGGGUCAAAGUGAUUUAGCGGUGUAAGAUGGGCUCGCGUCCAAUUAGCUAGUUGGUGAGGUAACGGCCCACCAAGGCGACGAUUGGUAGCCGACUUGAGAGAGUGAUCGGCCACACUGGAACUGAGACACGGUCCAGACUCCUACGGGAGGCAGCAGUGGGGAAUAUUGGGCAAUGGAGGAAACUCUUACCCAGCAAUGCCGCGUGAGUGAUGAAGGUCUUUGGAUUGUAAAGCUCUUUGAUUGGGGACGAAUAAAUGACGGUACCCGAAGAACAAGCCCCGGCUAACUAUGUGCCAGCAGCGGC